rnacentral:rRNA from 1 species
CCACGGGGGGCAGCAGUGGGGAAUAUUGGACAAUGGGGGCAACCCUGAUCCAGCCAUGCCGCGUGUGUGAAGAAGGCCCUCGGGUUGUAAAGCACUUUCAGUGAGGAAGAACGCCUGGUGGUUAAUACCCAUCAGGAAAGACAUCACUCACAGAAGAAGCACCGGCUAACUCCGUGCCAGCAGCCGCGGUAAUACGGAGGGUGCGAGCGUUAAUCGGAAUUACUGGGCGUAAAGCGCGCGUAGGUGGCUUGAUAAGCCGGUUGUGAAAGCCCCGGGCUCAACCUGGGAACGGCAUCCGGAACUGUCAAGCUAGAGUGCAGGAGAGGAAGGUAGAAUUCCCGGUGUAGCGGUGAAAUGCGUAGAGAUCGGGAGGAAUACCAGUGGCGAAGGCGGCCUUCUGGACUGACACUGACACUGAGGUGCGAAAGCGUGGGUAGCAAACAGGAUUAGAUACCCUUGUAGUC